UCCUACGGGAGGCAGCAGUGGGGAAUAUUGGACAAUGGGGGGAACCCUGAUCCAGCCAUGCCGCGUGUGUGAAGAAGGCCUUAUGGUUGUAAAGCACUUUAAGCGAGGAGGAGGCUACUAGUAUUAAUACUACUGGAUAGUGGACGUUACUCGCAGAAUAAGCACCGGCUAACUCUGUGCCAGCAGCCGCGGUAAUACAGAGGGUGCGAGCGUUAAUCGGAUUUACUGGGCGUAAAGCGUGCGUAGGCGGCCAUUUAAGUCAAAUGUGAAAUCCCCGAGCUUAACUUGGGAAUUGCAUUCGAUACUGGAUGGCUAGAGUAUGGGAGAGGAUGGUAGAAUUCCAGGUGUAGCGGUGAAAUGCGUAGAGAUCUGGAGGAAUACCGAUGGCGAAGGCAGCCAUCUGGCCUAAUACUGACGCUGAGGUACGAAAGCAUGGGGAGCAAACAGGAUUAGAUACCCUGGUAGUCCAUGCCGUAAACGAUGUCUACUAGCCGUUGGGGCCUUUGAGGCUUUAGUGGCGCAGCUAACGCGAUAAGUAGACCGCCUGGGGAGUACGGUCGCAAGACUAAAACUCAAAUGAAUUGACGG
rnacentral:rRNA from 1 species